ACCCCCCAAAAGAGAUCCUCCCAAAAGUGGUGCAUCUGGAGAGGUGUGGCGGCCUUGCCUUUCUGCCCUGCCUUGCCCUGUACCUAUCUUCAUUUUGGCUGUUCCUGAGUUACAUCUCUUGUGAUAAAUGGGUGUUCUCCCGCUUGUACCAAACGAGUCUGUUUUUCAAUGGAACUGGUGUAGCAGAUCAAAAUUCAAGCCCAUGUAUUCAGCGUUCCUAAGAGUCCCUUUCAUUGGCAAAUUCUAACCUGGGUCCCCAGAGGGAAGUUGGUACCGAGAAACACAAUUGCCAGCCCUAGGAAUGACUGGCAGUGGUGAUGUCGAGCUGACCACCAGUCCGGAACAGCACAAGCCUCCUCCUUAAUGGA